GUUACCUCAUAAUAGUGAUGCAGCCAUAGCAACAGUGGGCAAAUCCUGUCUUUCAAGUCAGUGUUAGAGCAUACAGUUUCCAGUACUGGGGGGAUAUAUUGUAAUUUAGAGAAAUUCUUCCGGAUUUAAUUGACUCCUGCUGCCUCUGUUAACCAUAUGGAUGUCCAUGAUUGGAACUACAAUACUAUUCCUACUACUUCUGGAAGCAAUGUUGAUGCUCAUGAUAUUCUUACCACUGGAUACCAUGUUAAUUUCCCUGAUCUCUCCUGCAAUGAGUGACAUGGUAAGGUUGAUACCAGGGUUCUUCCUUGCCCAUGGAUCUGAUGUGGAGUUCUGUCUGUCCUGCUACCUGAGACAAUGUUGAUACAAGAGUUCUGUCUUUCCAACAUGAAGAAUGUUAAUUUCCCUGAUCUCAAUACCAAAGUAAACUAUGUGGCUAUCCUUUCUACAUGCUGCCACCUGAAUCCUUGAGGAUUUCAUGGAUCUCUGCUGCUUCUGUUACACAUUUGGAUGUCCGUGAUUGGAACUACAAUGCUAUUCAUACUACUUCUCAUAGCAGUGUUGAUGCUCAUGAUCUUGUAAACCACUAGACAUCUUUUUGAUUUCUGUGAUGUCUCCUAUUACAAGUGAUGAUGUUAAUGUAAGUGUUGCUUUUGGCAAUGUGUAGAAUGGUAAUUUCCAUUAUUUAACAAGCAUUGGUAACUAAGCAGAUAUCCAUAAUUCAUGCUGCCAUUUCCAACCAUGCUGCUGUCAUUAAUCCUUGUUGCCACUGUUAACCCUGUUGAUGUCUAUGAAUGCACCUCCAAUGAAUUCCUGUUGGUUCUGUAAGCCAUGUUGAUGCAUGUAGUCCUUGGUACCAUGAGAAAACACUUGAGUGCCAUGACCUCUCUGACCCCUUGUGACCAUAUUAUUGGAAGUGUUCUGUAUUGCCAAAAGAAAGAAUGUAAAUUUCCAAGAACUGAAAUACCAACUGAAACUAAGUUGAUAUCCAGAAUAUUUGCUGUCACCUCCAUACAAAUUGAAUUCAUUCAUACCUGCUGCAUCUGUUAAACAUGUGGAUGUCCAUAAGCAGACAUACCAUGCUAUUCCUACUAUUUCUGGAAACCAUGUUGAUGCCAGGGUUCUUUCUUGCCCAUGGAUCUGAUGGUGAUGUCCAUCUGUCCUGCUACCUGAGACCAUGUUCUGUCUUUCCAACAUGAAGAAUGUUAAUUUCCCUGAUCUCAAAUAUCAUAGUAAACUAUCUGGCUAUCCACUCGACAUGCUGCCACCUAAAAACCUGUGGAUAUAAUUGAUCCCUGCUUCUGUUACCCAUAUGGAUGUUCAUGAUUCGAAGCACAAUGACAUUAGUAUUUCUAGAAGCAAUGUUGAUGCUAAUUAUCUUCUUACUACUGGGCACCAUGUUGAAUUCUAUGAUCUCUCCUGCUACAAGUCACAACCUUAAGGUAAGUGUUUCUUGUUGCCAAUGUAUAGAAUGGUAAUUUUCAAGAUUUAACUAACUUUUGGUAACUAAGUUGAUACACAUAAUUCAUAUUGCCACCUGCAGCCAAGCUUAUGCCAUUGAUCACUAAAGCCUUUGAUAUUAAUGAAUGAAGAUCUCAUGCAUUCCUAUUGGUUAUAUAAGCCCUGUUGAUGCAUGUGGUCCUUGUUACCAUGGGAUAACACCUUGAUUGCUAUGAAAUCUCCAUCCCCUUAUGACCUUACUAAUAUAAGUGUUCUGUGUUGGCAAUAUGAAGAAUGUAAUUUCUAAGAAUUGAAAUACUAACAGAAACUAAAUUAAUAUCCUGAAUACAUGCUGCUACCUCUAAACAAGUUGAGUUCAUUAGUCCCAGCUGAGUCUCUUAAACAUGUCCAUGUCCAUGAUUGGAACUACAAUGCUAUUCCUACUCCUCCUGGAAGCAAUGUUGAUGCUCAUGUUCUUCUUACCACUGGACAACAUGGUGACUUCCAUGAUCUCUCCUGCUACAAGUGACCACAUAAAGUAAGUGUCCCUUUUUGGCAAUAUAUAGAAUGGUAAUUCCCAAGAUUUAAUGAACCUUUCUUAACUUAGCUAAUAUCUGUAAUUCAUGCUGCCACUUGUACCCAUACUGAUGUCAUUGACCACUGCUGCCUUUGUUAACCUUGUUGAUGUCUAUGAAAGGGCGUGACAGGAAUUCCUAUUGUUUCUGUAAGCCAUUUUGAUGCAUAUGGUCCUUGUAACUGUGGGAUAUCUUCUUGAUUGCCAUGACCGCUCUGGCCCCUUAUGACCAUAUUAAUGUAAGUAUUCUGUGUUGCCAACAUAAAGAAUGUAAAUUUACAAGAACAAUAAUACAAACUGAAAUGAAGUUGAUACCUGGAAUACUUGCUGUCACCUCCAAACAAAUUGAAUUAAUUCAUCACUG